rnacentral:rRNA from 1 species
GACCUCAAAUCAGGUAGGACUACCCGCUGAACUUAAGCAUAUCAAUAAGCGGAGGAAAAGAAACUAACGAGGAUUCCCCUAGUAACUGCGAGUGAAGCGGGAAGAGCUCAAAUUUCGAAUCUGGCGGCCCUCGGUCGUCCGAGUUGUAAUCUAGAGAAGCGUCUUCCGCGCUGGACCGUGUACAAGUCUCCUGGAAGGGAGCAUCGUAGAGGGUGACAAUCCCGUCUCUGACACGGAACCCCCAGGGCUAUGUGAUGCGCUCUCGACGAGUCGAGUUGUUUGGGAAUGCAGCUCAAAUCGGGUGGUAAACUCCAUCUAAAGCUAAAUAUUGGCGAGAGACCGAUAGCGAACAAGUACCGUGAGGGAAAGAUGAAAAGCACUUUGGAAAGAGAGUUAAACAGUACGUGAAAUUGCUGGAAGGGAAACGCUUGAUGUCAGUCGCGUCGACCGGGGAUCAACCUUGCUUCUAGCUGGGCGUAUUUCCCGGUAGACGGGUCAGCAUCGAUUUCGGCCGUCGUAGAAGGGCGGGAGCGAACGUGGCACUCUCCGGAGUGUGUUAUAGCCUCCCGUACGGAUGCGAUGGCCGGGAUCGAGGAACUCGGCACGACCCCUCGAGGGUUCGGGACUUCGGUCCACGUAGCGUGCCCAGGA